rnacentral:rRNA from 1 species
GACGAACGCUGGCGGCGUGCCUAAUACAUGCAAGUAGAACGCUGAAGGAGGAGCUUGCUUCUCUGGAUGAGUUGCGAACGGGUGAGUAACGCGUAGGUAACCUGCCUGGUAGCGGGGGAUAACUAUUGGAAACGAUAGCUAAUACCGCAUAAUAGUAGAUGUUGCAUGACAUUUGCUUAAAAGGUGCAAUUGCAUCACUACCAGAUGGCCCUGCGUUGUAUUAGCUAGUUGGUGAGGUAACGGCUCACCAAGGCGACGUUACAUAGCCGACCUGACAGGGUGAUCGGCCACACUGGGACUGAGACACGGCCCAGACUCCUACGGGAGGCAGCAGUAGGGAAUCUUCGGCAAUGGACGGAAGGCUGACCGAGCAACGCCGCGUGAGUGAAGAAGGUUGUCGGAUCGUAAAGCUCUGUUGUAAGAGAAGAACGAGUGUGAGAGUGGAAAGUUCACACUGUGACGGUAUCUUACCAGAAAGGGACGGCUAACUACGUG